GACGAACGCUGGCGGCGUGCUUAACACAUGCAAGUCGAACGGAAAGGCCUCUUUCGGGGGGUACUCGAGUGGCGAACGGGUGAGUAACACGUGAGUAACCUGCCCUUGACUUUGGGAUAACUUCAGGAAACUGGGGCUAAUACCGGAUAGGAGCUCCUGCUGCAUGGUGGGGGUUGGAAAGUUUCGGCGGUUGGGGAUGGACUCGCGGCUUAUCAGCUUGUUGGUGGGGUAGUGGCUUACCAAGGCUUUGACGGGUAGCCGGCCUGAGAGGGUGACCGGCCACAUUGGGACUGAGAGACGGCCCAGACGCCGACGGGAGGCAGCAGUGGGGAAUAUUGCACAAGGGGUGGAAGCCGGAUGCAGAAACGCCGGGGGCGGGAUGACGGCCUUCGGGUUGUAAACCGCUUUCGCUCAUGACGAAGCUUUGUGUGACGGUAGUGGGUAAAGAAGCACCGGCUAACUACGUG
rnacentral:rRNA from 1 species